rnacentral:rRNA from 1 species
AGUCAUUGUAGCAAUACAAGGCAGACGGCUCAUUAACGCGUAGUCAACCUACCCUAUGGACGGGAAUAACCUCGGGAAACUGAGUAUAAUGCCCGAUAGAACACUAUACCUGGAAUGGUUUGUGUUUCAAACGAUUUAUUGCCGUAGGAUGGGACUGCGGCCUAUCAGUUUGUUGGUGAGGUAAUGGCCCACCAAGACUAUUACAGGUACGGGCUCUGAGAGGAGUGGCCCGGAGAUGGGUACUGAGACACGGACCCAGGCCCUAUGGGGCGCAGCAGGCGAGAAAACUUUGCAAUGUGCGAAAGCACGACAAGGUUAAUCCGAGUGGUUUCUGCUAAAGGAACCUUUUGACAGUCCUAGAAACACUGUUGAAUAAGGGGUGGGCAAGUUCUGGUGUCAGCCGCCGCGGUAAAACCAGCACCUCAAGUGGUCAGGAUGAUUAUUGGGCCUAAAGCAUCCGUAGCCGGCUCAGUAAGUUUUCGGUUAAAUCUGUACGCUUAACGUACAGGCUGCCGGGAAUACUGCAGAGCUAGGGAGUGGGAGAGGUAGACGGUACUCGGGAGGAAGUGGUAAAAUGCUUUGAUCUUUCGAUGACCACCUGUGGCGAAGGCGGUCUACCAGAACACGUCCGACGGUGAGGGAUGAAAGCUGGGGGAGCAAACCGGAUUAUAUACCCGGGUAGUCCCAGCUGUAAACUAUGCAAACUCAUU